UACGUAGGGGGCAAGCGUUGUCCGGAUUUAUUGGGCGUAAAGAGCGUGUAGGCGGCCAAACAGGUCAGCUGUGAAAACUCGAGGCUCAACCUCGAGACGUCGGUUGAAACCGUUUGGCUAGAGUCCGGAAGAGGAGAGUGGAAUUCCCGGUGUAGCGGGUGAAAUGCGCAGAUAUCGGGAAGAACACCCGUGCGAAGGCGGCUCUCUGGGACGGUACUGACGCUGAGACGCGAAAAGCGU
rnacentral:rRNA from 1 species